rnacentral:rRNA from 1 species
GAUGAACGCUGGCGGCGUGCCUAAUACAUGCAAGUCGAGCGAACAGAUAAGGAGCUUGCUCCUUUGACGUUAGCGGCGGACGGGUGAGUAACACGUGUGUAACCUACCUAUAAGACUGGGAUAACUUCGGGAAACCGGCGCUAAUACCGGAUAACAUUUGGAACCGCAUGGUUCUAAAGUGAAAUAUGGUUUUGCUGUCACUUAUAGAUGGACCCGCGCCGUAUUAGCUAGUUGGUAAGGUAACGGCUUACCAAGGCAACGAUACGUAGCCGACCUGAGAGGGUGAUCGGCCACACUGGAGCUGAGACACGGUCAAGACUCCUACGGGAGGCAGCAGUAGGGAAUCUUCCGCAAUGGGCGAAAGCCUGACGGAGCAACGCCGCGUGAGUGAUGAAGGGUUUCGGCUCGUAAAACUCUGUUAUUAGGGAAGAACAAAUGUGUAAGUAACUGAGCACGUCUUGACGGUACCUAAUCAGAAAGCAACGGCUAACUACGUG